UACGGGGGGGGCAAGCGUUGUUCGGAAUUACUGGGCGUAAAGGGCGCGUAGGCGGUCUGUUAUGUCGGAUGUGAAAGCCCUUGGCUCAACUGAGGAAGUGCAUCCGAAACUGGCAGGCUAGAGUACUAAAGAGGAUCGCGGAAUUCCCGGUGUAGAGGUGAAAUUCGUAGAUAUCGGGAGGAACACCGGUGGCGAAGGCGGCGAUCUGGGUAGAUACUGACGCUGAGGUGCGAAAGCGUGGGGAGCAAACAGG
rnacentral:rRNA from 1 species